GGUGGAUUCGGGUCCAGAUUCUGGUAGGAGGGAGUUUGGGAUCGAGAUCUGGAAAAAAGCACUAGACUGGAAGAGGACGCGAUGGAGUCGGAGCCGCUGGCGGGGACAAAAACCAGAGGCCGGGGAAGGCGCCGGUGGGAGGCAAGGCACGGAUGGACUUUACCUGCGCACGCGUCGCAGCCAUCUCCGCGCACAGUGGUGGCCACCGCGACUGGUGCUGAAGUGUUGGCGCGUGCCGGGCGCUCCGCUGGGACCCGGGUUGCUGGCCCUGAGUCUCAGCUUUCUCAUCUGUACGGUUGGGACAAGUACAGUAACCCUCGCCCGUCAAGACGGGCCAGGGCUGUGGCGAGGGUCCACGCCUUAGAGCAGGUACCUAUCUUGUGCAGGGCCCUGAGAUGGGGUCUGACUCAGUUCCUGCGGGGAACUUCACCAGUGACCCAGUCAGUGCCCUUCAGUUAAAGACCACCAGGAGCACACUUGCAGGAGUAGGGCUGAUUGGAGCCAUUGUACAGUGUCGGGAACAUACCAGGACACUGAGAAUAGUGUCAUGUCAUAAGGACCCAGAGCAGAUGGACCCUGCUGUGAUGCACAAAGAGGACCACGCAAGAUAUGAUAAAGAUCUACAUCACUGAAUUUUGGUUCCAUUUUUGUAUCUCAGCUUCCAGGAAAUAAAAAAGAAUUCUAACAUUCAUACUUUCAGUAUUUUAUGUGAGAGGUUUUGUUGUCAAAAUCAAGUCUGAGAGCAAUGUUUGUUGGGGCCUUUAAUUGGAGUCACCAAGCGAUAAAGGGGACAUUGUCCUCAACAAUAACCCUAUAAUAAACACGUUUUGGACAAUAAAUAUAUGACAAUUUCUUAAAAGCAAUUUCUUGGGCAAUCAAGACAGUAUGGCUUGAGUAUGGAGUUAUACGAUGGUUUGGAUUAAUCCAGUAUUAAAUCUUUGGUUAUUACAGAAAUCAAUGGAGCCUAUUCUUCCAAAUAAUCCUUAAAUAUUACUUAUCUCAACUGAGAUUUUGGUGAAAAUUUAGCUUUAGAGCUUUUAUUGACCUGCCAAUGACCUGAAGUUAAGAUUAUUCUUUUCUACUGAAUGAAGACAAACUACCUUAUAAAAAUUAACCCAGAAGGCUGUAGAGGUGAUUUGUUUUCUUUAUUUCUGAUGACAGUUAAAUAGCUUGACUAAAACUCUUGGUUCCCUAAAUGGCUUUUCUGCUUUUGGAUGGUGGUAGCCUGGGGAACGUAAGGAAAGCAGAUAUCUCCCAAAACUGGGAAUAAAAUACAUGAUUUAUUCCAAUACAUUCCAGGAAACCCCAUUUCCAAGCUCUUUAAACUAAAACAUUACUGUAAACAUGUUGGCCUAAAAUUUUUCAGAGCUAGAAAUGUUCAGAGCAAUAGCUGCCAGUUGCCACCAUGAUGUUAGGAAAUUCUCAUUAAUUCUUACAUGACAGUUGUCUACAUAGAGAUGAAACACUUGACUAAAUUGUCAGCAGCAUAAUUGUAUCCAUACAGACAGAUAGAACAAAUCCAAUGCUGUGAUGUAGUUUAAAUGUGCACAUGUUAACUGAUUAGAGAGCUAGAAAAUGGAGGGUAUUUUUAGCAGCAUAUGAUAAAUAUAUUUCUGACUGUUGAAUAUUGUUUAACUGCUUUGUUCUAGUUACUGGGGAUUAUAUAGUAGGAAGUAAUACAGACAGAUGUCACGUCCUGAUGGGCCUUGUAUUUCAGGGAUGAAAUGGGAUUUUGUUGGCACCAAGACCUGAUUGCUUUGCCAGUUACCCUCACCCCUGGCUCACAAGGAAAGUGUAUGGAGGAGAUUCUCGAGGAACCACAUGAGUUUUAAUAUCAUAAGCUUCUGCCCUGAAUUGAAAG
rnacentral:lncRNA from 10 species